rnacentral:rRNA from 1 species
AACGAACGCUGGCGGCAUGCCUAACACAUGCAAGUCGAACGAACCCUUCGGGGUUAGUGGCGCACGGGUGCGUAACGCGUGGGAAUCUGCCCUUUGCUUCGGAAUAACACAGAGAAAUUUGUGCUAAUACCGGAUAAUGUCGCAAGACCAAAGAUUUAUCGGCAAAGGAUGAGCCCGCGUAGGAUUAGCUAGUUGGUGGGGUAAUGGCCCACCAAGGCGACGAUCCUUAGCUGGUCUGAGAGGAUGAUCAGCCACACUGGGACUGAGACACGGCCCAGACUCCUACGGGAGGCAGCAGUGGGGAAUAUUGGACAAUGGGCGAAAGCCUGAUCCAGCAAUGCCGCGUGAGUGAUGAAGGCCUUAGGGUUGUAAAGCUCUUUUACCCGGGAUGAUAAUGACAGUACCGGGAGAAUAAGCUCCGGCUAACUCCGUGCCAGCAGCCGCGGUAAU